rnacentral:lncRNA from 1 species
GGACCAAGGAAGACAAGGAAACCAUCAAGAAAGAGGAAAGACUAGUCAAACUUACCUUAUCUUGUCUUUACCUUUUCUAAUCUAAAUUACCAAAGAUUCAGUCACACGAAGGGUUUCUAAAUACUUUGGGACAUUUCAUUACAUAUUCUACAAGUCCUAAACCUGCCUUAAAAGUCCAAGCCAUAUCAUCCUUCACCAUUUCUCUUCCUUGCCGUGCAAGGGAGCCAUCCCUUUCCUAUUUUCUGCCAUAAAUCACUCCAAUUUCCACCCAUGCCGUGCAUCAUCACCCUUGUCCCCUUCAUUAUUUUAGAUUUCAUGCAUCAUUACAUUGAAUCAUUGCACUCAAUUGCAACACCAUUCCUUGUUCCCUCCAUCAUUUCAGAUUCAUGCAUCAUUACAUUGAAUCAUUGCACUUAAUUGCUACACAAUUCCUUGUUCCCUCCAUCAUUUCAGAUUUCAUGCAUCAUUACACUCAAUUGCUACACCACUCCAUAUUCCCCUCCAUUGCCAUGCACUUCCUCGAUAAAAGGAAAUGUGUGUAACAUAAAUUGAGUUCAGUUUUUGCUUGAUCAUUCAUCCCCAUUUCAAUACAACCUUCAUCCAAACACAUCCAUUCAUCUUUACAUCCAUUCCUCCAUAUAAACAAACCUUCAAACACUCACCAACACCUUGUGCUGUAGCAAAGAAGGGGAAGGAAAGUGCUUAGACGUGCUUGUUGUCCAACUUGGAUCGUUGGAGCGUUUAGGUGUUUUCUUUCUUUUGUUU